UACGUAGGGGGGCAAGCGUUGUCCGGAAUCAUUGGGCGUAAAGAGCGUGUAGGCGGCCCGAUAAGCCCGCUGUGAAAGUCCAGGGCUCAACCCUGGAAUGCCGGUGGAUACUGUCGGGCUCGAAUCCGGAAGAGGUGAGUGGAAUUCCUGGUGUAGCGGUGAAAUGCGCAGAUAUCAGGAGGAACACCGGUGGCGAAGGCGGGUCUCUGGGCAAUAACUGACGCUGAGGAGCGAAAGCGUGGGGGGCGAACAGG
rnacentral:rRNA from 1 species